AUAUCAGCCUAGGCAACGAUCCUGACCGUCGGAUCAUGGCACAGGGCACUCUAGCGAUUCUCGAACCGAACAGACCGGGCUUCGCCGUGAGCUGCCCUUCCCCUCCGCUUCGAGGCCCCGAAGACGGCGGCGGCAGCAGCAGCAGUGAAGGAGAGGGCGAAAGAUGGCCUUUGUCAAAACUCAGAAGACCAAGGCUUACUUUAAGCGCUUUCAAGUCAAGUACAAGAGAAGGAGAGAGGGCAAGACUGAUUACCGUGCACGGAUCAGGCUGAUUAACCAGGACAAGAACAAGUACAAUACACCUAAAUUUCGAUUUGUUGUUCGAUUUGCAACCUCGGAAGUUGUUGCUUUUCACCUUUCUUUUCCUUCUCUCUUUUUUUUUGUUGCUUUUUUGGCAAUAAGAGUGAAGUUCUUAACAAAUAUGCUGUCAGACCAACAAGGAUAUUGCUGCACAAAUUAUAUCUGCAAGCAUUGCUGGUGAUCUAGUCCUUGCAUCUGCUUACUCUCAUGAACUUCCAUGCUACGGACUCGAAGUUGGUCUUACCAACUAUGCUGCAGGCUACUGGAGAGGACUUCUCUGUUGAACCUGCUGAGAGCAGGAGGCCUUUCCGUGCUCUUCUUGAUGUUGGCCUUGUGAGGACAACAACUGGCAACCGAGUUUUUGGUGCUCUUAAAGGUGCAUUAGAUGGUGGACUUGAUAUCCCUCGUAGUGACAAGAGGUUUGCUGGUUUUAAGAAGGAUGAGAAACAACUUGAUGCAGAAGUUCACAGGAAUUACAUCUUUGGAGGUCAUGUUGCAUCUUACGUGAAGACCUUGAUGGAGGAUGAGCCAAAAAAGUAUCAGGCGCACUUCAGUGAAUAUAUCAAGAGAGGAAUUGAGCCUGAUGACAUGGAAGAGAUGUACAAAAAAGUUCAUGCUGCCAUCCAUGCAGAUCCAACCACAAUAAAAUCCACAAAGCAACCACCCAAGGAGCACAGGAGAUUUAACUUGAAGAAGCUUACAUACGAGGAAAGGAAAGCCAAACUCAUCGAACGACUGAAUGCCCUUAAUGCAUCUGCUGAUGCCAACGAAGACGAAGACGACGAGUGAACACUUGAGUCAAAGUGCUAGCCUUGUGUUGUAAUUUGCAGCAGUCCAGGCUUGUUUCACUGCGUCCUACUCUCAUCAGGCUCAUAGGCAAGUUCUCAUUUGCUAUCAAGUAUAGAUCGUGGAUUUGGUCCAACCAAUCCGACCAAACGCCAACAAUUUUGACUCAUGCAAUUAAUAACUGCUUUUUAGAGGUUUAAUGAUAUGUGUGUUAUGUUGAA